UAGCCAUUGGCCUACACCAGAGCCACACCAAUGCGGGAUCUGAGCUGCGUCUGAAACCUACACCACAGCUCACGGCAAUGCCGGAUCCUUAACCCACUGAGUAAGGCCAGGGACCGAACCUGCAACCUCAUGGUUCCUAGUCUGAUUGUUAACCACUGAGCUACGACAGGAACUCCAGAAAGUUUUAUAUCUUCUAUUUGAUAGCUAGGAAGCAUUGGCCAUUUCUAUCCCCACAUAUAUAAUUUUUUUUUUUUUUCCUGGAGUUCCCAUCAUGGCUUAGCAGUUAGAAAACUCAACUGGCAUCCAUGAGGACAUGGGUUCGAUUCCUGCCUUUGCUCAGUGGGUUAAGGAUCUGGAGUUGCCGUGGGUUGUGAUGUAGGUUGUAGAUGGGGCUCAGAUCCCACGUUGCUGUGGCUCUGAUGUAGGCUGGCGGCUACAUCUCUGAUUGGAGCCCUAUCGUGGGAACCUCCAUAUACCAUGGGUAUGGCCCUAAAAAAAGACAAAAAGACCAAAAAAAAAUUUUUUUUCCCCCUAAGAUCCCAGACAAUAUGUGCAAAGUUGUCUUCAGAGCUGUUUUUAUUCUUCACGAGGUCUGAAAUUCUGGAAGCUGACAUCAUGUUAAAGGUGGUUGAUUGGGCUUUAACAUUGUGUAUGUUUAAGAAGCAAGGGUGAUGGUUUAUUAUCUGGUCGUGCCAUUUCUAGAAUUGCUGCAGGAAGGGGGACCCCUUGCAGGGCCCAAGAGUGGGCUCUUGUCUAUACUCAGAAGUAAAUUGUCUGAAGAGACAUUAUGACACACAUGGGCACCUGGGCAGAGAAUAGCAGGGUAAGGGAAACCAGCACUGCUCUGUCAUGUCACUGGCAGUCUCUGGUUUUAUGGGAAUGGGGUUAGUUUCUGGGUUGUCUCUGGUGAGUCCUGCUUGGCCUAUAUUUGGUGUGGCUCAAGGUGCUUCUUGGUGGGGUUGUGUAUCUCUCGGCCAAGAUGGAUUCAAGCUCCAAGGAUUCUGGGAAAUUGGUCGUCUCCCCCUCUGAUCGACCUCUCCCAAAUUCUUCUGGUUAGUCUUCUGGGCAACACCGUGUUCCUUAUUGGGGCCUGUUGUUAGACAGCUCAUGUAAGCAGUUAUUAUUGUGCCUGGCUGAGGUGGGUGGUUUUAGUCAAUGGCUCCCUAACAAAUGAUAGAACUUUUAAUAAAGACCAAACAUUAAUUAUUUACCUCUAACAUCAAACAUUGACUAAUUAUUAAUGACAUGAUAUAUUUAAAAGGUAGCAAUUGGAGCAACCUCUAAAAUCUUCAGCUCUUUCCAGCCUUUGCGUAGUCUGAUUGUGGUUCUUAUUCUGCUUUGAACAGAAACAGAUAACAAUUUAUCUUCUGGAAGGUCUUUAGCAGUGGAGGAUCCUUAGGCCUGUGCAUGAUUUUCCAGAUCUCUUAAAAAUUGCUACAACUGGUUACAUAUUGACAGUUUUGGCAACACACUGAUGACCACUGUCCAACUCUUGGUAACUUACUAGACCCUUUGUGUAUCUUUUCCUUUUUGCCUGAGGCCCAAGUUAUUUUUCUGUUCUACAAAGUCUACAAUUUCCUCCCUCAGAGGGGAAGGAUUAGGAGUUCUAUUUCCAUAUCCAUGCCGGGAUAUUUCUUUUCUACUCAUACCCUCUUUCUUCCUUACUGAGGUCUUGAAAAUGCAAACUUGUAUAUACAGUACUUAUUUCCCUUUAGCAUAUAUGGAUAUAAACCACUGUCUGGUUUAGGAUUUUCUUUUAAUGCAUUUUUUCCCCCUCAAAAUAAGGUUGCAAACUACAUGCAUCAGAAUCAGUCAUAAAGCGUGUUAAAAAUUCAGAUUUUCUACUCUGCAUCUGUGAACCGGCAAUUCUGGAAGUGAGGUUCAGAGGUUGUAUUUUAAAAACAUCAUACCAGUUAAUUCAAGUGACCACUAAAUUUUAAUACUAAGUCACUUUUGUAAGUUUCUUGUGUAUUCCAAAAGUAUUCUACAUUUUUUCUAAGUUGCAUUUCAAAAUGUAUUUUUUUGAAAGAAGAUGAAAAAUGUUACAGAAAAUGAAGCUUUAGUUAAAAUUAAAAGUUCAGCCCUGAGAUGAUUUUAUUUUAUAUUUAAUUUAUUUUUGUAUAUUCAGGGCUGCUCUCACGGCAUAUGGAGAUUCCCAGGCUAGGAGUCAAAUUGGAACUGCAACUGCUGGCCUAUGCCACAGCCACAGCAAUGACAGAUCCAAGCCGUGUCUGCGACCUACACCACAGCUCAUGGCAACACCAGAUCCUUAACCCACUGAGCAGGGCCAGGGGUCGAACCUGUGUCCUCAUGGAUGCUAGUCAGAUAUGUUUCUGCUGCGCCACGAUGGGAACUCCUCUGAGUGGAUUUUAAUAGUUUAUCUUUCAUCUGUGAAUGGGACGUUAUUAACCUCUUAUCAGGAGGAUGUGUCCCUUUUGUCUGGCUAAGGAUGGAAAUAGGUGGUGCUGGUUCUGGUCCCUCUGUAUCCUUCAGUCUACCUUUGCUUGCUCAGUCUAUGAUAGUGGAGCAGCAAUUUAUUUCUUAAUCUUCUAUGAAAAAAAAUUCCUGUUAUUUGAACUAAACCCCCCCCAAGCCAAAACAAAAUCUAUUUACAGACUAAACUGAAAGGUAUUAAAAAUGAAAAUUGACAUCUAAUAAAAAUUUACAUUAAAAUUUUAAUUUUAAUUUUUGCCAUUAUAGCUAGUUUACAGUGUUUUGUCAAUUUUCUGCUGUACAGCAAGGUGACCCAGUAACAUACAUAUAUACAUUCUUUUUUCCUCACAUUAUCAUGCUCCAUCAUAAGUGAAAGAUUUACAUUUUUAUUAAUGACUUUCAAGAUCAAAUGAUGUCAGAGAAUUUCAGAAAUGUUCUUUACCUCCUGUCUCUACUCUUUGGAGUACUUCAAAAAGAAAGGAAGGAGUUCCCUAGUGGCCUAACAGUUAAGGAUCUGAUAUUGUCAUUGCUCUGGCUCAGGUUCCAAUCCCUGGCCCAGGAACUUUCUGCAUGCUGCAGGUGGAGCCAGAGGAAGGGAAGCAGGGUGAGGGUCUGUAAGGCUUUGGUUUUAGUCAUUGGAUGUUGGUUAGACUGUUUCAGACCCCUGUAGGCUUCACUUUCUUCACUGUGAAAUGGGAAUAUGUGAUAAAAAAUUCAUUUUGUAUGGUGUUCCUGUUGUGGCUCAGUUAAGAACCUGACUUGUAUCCUUGAAGAUGCAGGUUCUAUCCCUGGCCUCACUCAGAGGGUUAAAGGGUCCGGAGUUGCCAUGAACUGUGGUGUAGGUUAAAGACGUGGCUUGGAUCUGGUGUUGCUGUGAUCUAGGCCAGCAGCUGCUCUUCUUAGACCCCUGCCCAGCCAGGAAACUUCCAUAUGCCACAGGUGUGGCCCUAAAAGGCCAAAAAAAAAAAAAAAAGAAAAGAAAAAGAAAAAA
rnacentral:lncRNA from 1 species